rnacentral:sRNA from 2 species
GCGAGAACGCGUUGCCGCAGGCAACGACCCGAAGGGCGAAGCGCGCAGCGCUGAGUCAUCCUUCCCCCACCACCA